AUUGAACGCUGGCGGCAUGCCUUACACAUGCAAGUCGAACGGUAACAGGUCUUCGGAUGCUGACGAGUGGCGAACGGGUGAGUAAUACAUCGGAACGUGCCUAGUAGUGGGGGAUAACUACUCGAAAGAGUGGCUAAUACCGCAUGAGAUCUACGGAUGAAAGCAGGGGAUCGCAAGACCUUGUGCUACUAGAGCGGCCGAUGGCAGAUUAGGUAGUUGGUGGGAUAAAAGCUCACCAAGCCGACGAUCUGUAGCUGGUCUGAGAGGACGAUCAGCCACACUGGGACUGAGACACGGCCCAGACUCCUACGUGAGGCAGCAGUGGGGAAUUUUGGACAAUGGGCGCAAGCCUGAUCCAGCAAUGCCGCGUGCAGGAUGAAGGCCUUCGGGUUGUAAACUGCUUUUGUACGGAACGAAAAGCCCCGGGUUAAUACCCUGGGGUCAUGACGGUACCGUAAGAAUAAGCACCGGCUAACUACGUGCCAGCCGCCGCAGUAA
rnacentral:rRNA from 1 species